AAGAUUUUAAGUUAAUAAAACUAUUAAUUUUCAAAGUUAAAAUUAAACCAUCUUUAAAUCUUA
rnacentral:tRNA from 1 species